GAGACAAUGAAGUAUGAUGCAGGAAGGGAGACCAGAAGGAAAAAGACCUAUUGAGGAGGGUGUUAUCUUGGGGCCUUCCUGAAAAAUCCGUGUCCGUGGCAACGAGAAGCAGAUCAGCCAUACUUUCCUGGGCUCUGAGAGGAGUGCAGCACAGACAGAAGAAAGAUCAGCAGCACACAGGACCACAGCAGCCAACAGGACUUUCUUCAGAUGGGAGUUGGACUGAAUAUGAGAAAGAGGCUUGACUAAAUCUACUUAAAUGAGC